ensembl:lncRNA
CUGGUGGCAUAGUUCGCAUCUGCUAGAUAAAAGCAUAAUCGCACCGACCAAAGACGACAGCAAUAAUGUAUUUUGAGACAAAGAAACUCUUGAAACUAAAAGAAGUUUAAGAGGACUUUUACACCAAAGUCUUAGACAUGUUUUUCCAGAAGGUUAGGCCAAUUCUUCUUCACGUUUGUUAGCCUAGCACCAGAAGUUGGUUGAUGAUUAGCAAGGAGAUCAACAUUAAUUUGUGUGUCUUAUUCAUUCACUUGGCUCAUGACGUCUACCUGAAUUAUCCUCUUUGGCUAAAAGCUGUCCUAAAUCAGUUGCUCGCGUUUCCAAAAACUGCUCAUUUGCGCUGUUUCCAGACUUUUUGUAGUCGAUCGCCACCGAGCUAAAAACUGAUGACAACUAACGAUUGCGCAAAAUCGAACUGUUAUUUCACCGCGCUGAUAUGAACGCUCAGGUUGAUGUAAACAGGUACCAUUAGAUUAUGGCUCAAUUCAGUACACGCCGUGGCUCACUCUCAACCAAUCAGAACGCUUGAUUUUAUCUGCCCAGUAUUAUAAAAGAAUAUACGAUAUGGGAUAUGAAACAUAAGCAGUAGUCGAAGGGUAAGCAGCCAGUUGAAUGGUGAAUUUAUGCUACUUUGUUAAAUUCAUAUAUUUGUGAAUAUGAGUCAGUGACUCCCCAGCAACGAACCUCACUGUCCACAGUCAAGCGUAUUUUGCAUCUCCAUGGACUGAGAGGCUGCCGUGCAAGAAGGAAGCCCUUGCUCCAAAAGCGGCACCUUAAGGCUCGACUGAAGUUUGCUGCUGAUCACAUGGACAAAGCUCAUCACUUGGACUGCCCUUUUCCCCUGCCUAGCCGUUGACCCGACUCCAGCCCCCACUCAUCACCACCCAACCAGACCAGACCUUCCCCACACCUUUUUUUUGCAUAAUAAAUACCCACCUUUUAUUUUGAUUCUUCCGUGUGGUCUGCUUUUGGGUUCCCGUCCUGGACGAUUCGUGACAGAACGAUCCGGCCAAGAUGAACCCAGCGGACCUAGAAUCCGUACGACAUGCCAUCUCCCAGCAGGAAGACACGUUGGGACAGCACAGUCUGGCCCUGCAUGAGAUAACGACUGCUCUUCGUAGUCUGACCACAAGUCUUCCCACGGUCCAGGCUCAGCUCAGCGCUCCAGC